rnacentral:rRNA from 1 species
UACAGAGGUCCCGAGCGUUGUUCGGAUCCACUGGGCGUAAAGGGUGCGUAGGGGGUGAGGUAAGUCGGAUGUGAAAUCUCCAGGCUCAACCUGGAGACGCCACUUGAUACUGCUGUGACUGGAGUCCGGUAGGGGAGCGUGGAAUUCCUGGUGUAGCGGUGAAAUGCGCAGAUAUCAGGAGGAACACCGGUGGCGAAGGCGGGUCUCUGGGCAGUAACUGACGCUGAGGAGCGAAAGCGUGGGGAGCGAACAGG